UACGCUAAUUAGAAUGAUGGAGAUUAUCAAACGUUAAAUUGGACAAACGGAAGCAUUUCCUCCUUUUUUAUCGAUUCUUCGACAUUUUCUUGUUUUACCAAACGACAAUAGAGAAGCGAGAUAAAUUUGGGUUCUAGCGGAUAAAGUAAUCCAACAAAUGACAAUUCAAAGCGAAGAUGGCGAAGAUUUGGAAGAAUUGCGACAGAGGCUUGCUAAGCUUGACAUAAUUGACUAGACAACACAA